rnacentral:tRNA from 1 species
AAUUUAAAUAGUUUAAUAAAAACAUUGGUCUUGUAAAUCAAAAAUAAGAAAUUUUUUUCUUUUUAAAUA